rnacentral:rRNA from 1 species
GAUGAACGCUAGCGGGAGGCCUAACACAUGCAAGCCGAGCGGUAUUUGUUCUUCGGAACAGAGAGAGCGGCGCACGGGUGCGGAACACGUGUGCAACCUGCCUUUAUCUGGGGGAUAGCCUUUCGAAAGGAAGAUUAAUACCCCAUAAUAUAUUGAGUGGCAUCAUUUGAUAUUGAAAACUCCGGUGGAUAGAGAUGGGCACGCGCAAGAUUAGAUAGUUGGUGAGGUAACGGCUCACCAAGUCAAUGAUCUUUAGGGGGCCUGAGAGGGUGAUCCCCCACACUGGUACUGAGACACGGACCAGACUCCUACGGGAGGCAGCAGUGAGGAAUAUUGGACAAUGGGUUAGCGCCUGAUCCAGCCAUCCCGCGUGAAGGACGACGGCCCUAUGGGUUGUAAACUUCUUUUGUAUAGGGAUAAACCUACUCUCGUGAGAGUAGUUGAAGGUACUAUACGAAUAAGCACCGGCUAACUCCGUG